AUCACUUCACUUGUAAUCUCCAAAAAUUGGUCCACUCCAUUUUUCACUCCCUUUACUAUUUUCCUACUCACAAUCACACGUUCAACUCUCCUUCUCCUCGCUCAGAGUCUCAGACUCAGACAAACCAUUUUCUUUUGGCCCAAUUUCCAGCUCACAGUAUUAACCCAAACUCCCCCCUUUAACUCGUCGGUGUUGUCCUUCUCCUUCUCUCUCUCUUUUCCUUUUCCUUCACAAUCAUGGCAUCAAACAAUGCAGACCCAUGUAUAAAAAUGCCACUUUAGCUCGCCGUAGAUCCAAAUUUUGAAGCUUUUCAAUCGAAUAAAGAUAACCCAUUUGAUUAAAUCGUCCAACUUUGUCGACCCUCCGUUGAAAUGGGUGGUCUGAGGGAGUCGUGGUGCUUCUGCAAAGGAGUCAGCAAGUCUGAGAAGAUGAAGGCCGCCAUUUUCUCCGGCAAGGCUCCGGCCAUGGCCAUAAUUUCCGGCGCCGCAAAUGGGAUCUCCGGUACGGGAUUCCUGAUCCACCGUAGUCUACUAUUGACCACCCACGUCAACCUUCCGUCUGUGGCGGCCGCCGAGAGCUCCGAGAUCCGGCUGCAAAACGGUGUCGCUGCAAGUCUCGUUCCCCAAAGAUUUUUCAUCACCAGCUCCAUUUUAGAUCUCACAAUAGUAGGUCUGGAUGCGGUGGAUGGAGAUUCAAAUGCCCAAGGCCACCUCCACCACUUGAAGACCUGCUCUAAACCAAGCCUGGAUCUCGGCAGUGUAGUUUACCUUCUAGGCUACAUGGAGAAGAAGGAUUUGACAGUUGGCGAAGGUAAGGUAGUGAUUGCCACAGACAAUCUCAUAAAAUUGUCAACUGAUGGAGUAACAUUGAGCCCGGGUUCAGCCGGAUUUGACGCACAAGGGAAUCUUGCAUUUAUGAUAUGUGAUCCGAUGAAACUAGCAACAUCUCCAAACACCAAAUCUCAUCAACUUCCUCAUCAUCCUCCUCGUCAUGGAAGAAGGAUCACCCGAUGCAAUUUGGUAUCCCCAUUCCAAUCAUUUGUGAUUGGUUAAAUCAGCAUUGGGAGGGCAGUCUCGAUGAUCUUAACAAGCCUAAGCUACCGCUCAUUCGGUUAAUGUCUUCUGCCCAGAAAAGCGAACACUCUUGUGCUUCCUUCACACAGCGGCAAGUUUUUAAGUCAACUGAAGGUGAUAAUGAUGGAACAACUUCUUCAUCAAAUACAAUCUCAAAACCUAGGGACCAGCAUGGAUCAAGCUGCUCUGCUGCCGCAAACACUGUUGAAGAAGAGGCCCUAACAGGUGAUCCUCAUGCUGCACAUUUACAAGGUAUUCCUACUCCGGAAAUUUAUGAAUCACCGAAGUUAACAGCUAUCCCUCUUCGGAGAAGAGAAGGCUCCCCAGUUCAGCUUUUGGACAUUAAUUUUCCUCCAAGGGUUGCAAAACCAGCAGUUCUACCACAGUCAACCAAAAUGUUACUCCCGAAUUCUGGUGAGAAUUUUGUCAGGGAGCCUCCUGAGCAUAUCCCAGUAAGAGAAGGAAACAGAGUUGAGGAUAGAGGACCAGCCAGUCCUGAUGCAAAUGCUGAAAUUGCCUCGACGGGUUCUUUUAAUGGGGCCCAAAGUGAGGUUGAGUCUAGUUCAUUACCAGUGGAUGCUGCAGAUAGGCAGAAUGGGUAUAGUAGUGAGGGAGAGACUAUGUACUCUGCUGAAACUGCUGAGAGUCGAAAUUAUACUACUCCUGCAGAUGGAAAGUUUCAACAAGUGGGAAGGAGCCAGAGUUGUGUGAACUAUAAUAGAUGGGGAGCCACCCAAAGUAACCCAGUGCAGCGCAGGGCGUUGCUAGAAAAGCAGAGGAGCUUUAUCCAUGGAAGGAAGAUGCAUUCGCAAGCAGCAACUUCUCAAAGGAGCAAUGACUACUACAGCCCAACUGUCUCCUCAAUCAUGAAGAAGCGGAACUCAGAGCAGCCUGUCAGACCCCGGCAAAUUGCUGUUCAUUCCUCCCCAAAAUGGAACUUCUGAGUUGAUUCAUAUCAAAUGUGCCACCGGAAAAUGAUUAGCAUGAAGAACGUAUAGUGUUUUGAGUUAAAACGCCCAUUUAAUUUCCACUAUGGUAUAGUGUAACAAAUUUGUUGUGAAUGUGCAGAGAGACAGAUAUCAGGUGAAUAAGAAAAUUCAGCAAAGUUGUAAUUUUGCUCCUA